AACCUUUAGCUAAACAAAUAUUAAAGGCAACGCCUGCCCAGUGAAUAAUUUAACGGCCGCGGUAUCCUAACCGUGCAAAGGUAGCAUAAUCAUUUGUCUACUAAUUAUAGACCAGCAUGAAAGGCAAAAUGAGGGUCUAGCUGUCUCUUAUAAUAAAUCAAUUAAACUGAUCUCCCAGUAAAAAAGCUGGAAUUCACACAUAAGACCAGAAGACCCUGUGAAGCUUAAACUAUACUAUUAAACCCUAUAAUAACUACUUUCGGUUGGGGCGACCUUGGAAAAAAAGAGAACUUCCAAAUCUAUAGUACAUCACACUAUAGCCUCAGGCCUACAAGCCACUAAACGACCCAGCAUAGCUGAUAAUUGAACCAAGUUACUCCAGGGAUAACAGCGCAAUCCUCUUCAAGAGCCCAUAUCAAAAAGAGGGUUUACGACCUCGAUGUUGGAUCAGGACAUCCUGAUGGUGCAACCGCUAUCAAAGGUUCGUUUGUUCAACGAUUAAAGUCCU
rnacentral:rRNA from 1 species